rnacentral:tRNA from 1 species
AGGGAAUUAGUCCAAACAAGACCUCUGAUUUCGGCUCAGAAAACCGCAGUUUAAACCCGCGAUUCCCUU